rnacentral:rRNA from 1 species
UUCCAGACUCCUACGGGAGGCAGCAGUGGGGAAUAUUGCACAAUGGGGGAAACCCUGAUGCAGCGACGCCGCGUGAGCGAUGAAGUAUUUCGGUAUGUAAAGCUCUAUCAGCAGGGAAGAAGAUGACGGUACCUGACUAAGAAGCCCCGGCUAACUACGUGCCAGCAGCCGCGGUAAUACGUAGGGGGCAAGCGUUAUCCGGAUUUACUGGGUGUAAAGGGAGCGUAGACGGCGAUGCAAGCCAGAUGUGAAAGCCCGGGGCUCAACCCCGGGACUGCAUUUGGAACUGUGUGGCUGGAGUGUCGGAGAGGCAGGCGGAAUUCCUAGUGUAGCGGUGAAAUGCGUAGAUAUUAGGAGGAACACCAGUGGCGAAGGCGGCCUGCUGGACGAUGACUGACGUUGAGGCUCGAAAGCGUGGGGAGCAAACAGGAUUAGAUACCCCUGUAUAC